rnacentral:rRNA from 1 species
AGCGGGGAGGAAGGGAGUAAAGUUAAUACCUUUGCUCAUUGACGUUACCCGCAGAAGAAGCACCGGCUAACUCCGUGCCAGCAGCCGCGGUAAUACGGAGGGUGCAAGCGUUAAUCGGAAUUACUGGGCGUAAAGCGCACGCAGGCGGUUUGUUAAGUCAGAUGUGAAAUCCCCGGGCUCAACCUGGGAACUGCAUCUGAUACUGGCAAGCUUGAGUCUCGUAGAGGGGGGUAGAAUUCCAGGUGUAGCGGUGAAAUGCGUAGAGAUCUGGAGGAAUACCGGUGGCGAAGGCGGCCCCCUGGACGAAGACUGACGCUCAGGUGCGAAAGCGUGGGGAGCAAACAGGAUUAAUACCCUGGUAGUCCACGCCGUAAACGAUGUCGACUUGGAGGUUGUGCCCUUGAGGCGUGGCUUCCGGAGCUAACGCGUUAAGUCGACCGCCUGGGGAGUACGGCCGCAAGGUUAAAACUCAAGAA